rnacentral:snoRNA from 1 species
GAGCAAUGAUGUUUACUUGCACAAAUUGCGAACGAUUGGGUCGUCACCUACAUCUGAUUUAUAAGGCAGAUAAUGUGCAUCUGAGCUC